rnacentral:tRNA from 1 species
GCCUGGGUGGCUCAGUUGGUUGAGCGUCCGACUUCAGCUCAGGUCAUGACCUCGCUGUCUGUGAGUUCAAGCCCCACGUCAGGCU